GACGGCUGGAGGGUAGAGAGAUCGCUGUUUUUUGGGCAGAGUACAGAAGGAAAAGUAUUGUGUCAAUUUAUUUAGUUAGGCAAUAACUAAAUAAAUAUAUUAAAUAAAUAUAUUAAACAAAUAUAUUGAGUUGGGGUGAGAUUAUAAGGUUGUGAACCCUGUGUAAAGCGCUGGGUAGACUGGCUGAUCUGAAACGGGCCAGUUUCGGCUGAUUGCGCCGUCCCGGACAGACGAGAUCCCGAUAGCGCUUUGUGUUACCGGAGACACACAAAGUUCAUCGGGCUUCGUUGGAGUUCCUGUAUCGUGGAGGACGCUUGGUGGAUAAUCCUGCCAGAGCCAGCUGGAAACCCAGUGGAGUUCCAGGUUUGAGGAAGACAACAACUGCAGUUGCAGCCUUGAGUGAUGCAGGAAAGCUCCAGUGAAAUGCUGAGCUCAUCAGAUGUAAAACCAUGAAGGAGUGAGUGAGUAUGUUUUGCUGAAAGCACAUUAAACAAAGGAGCUCAUUAUGUCUGGAUCAUCCUGGAGUAUUUACAGCGGCUCUCCUGGUGGCUGAUCCCCUCAGGCCUAAUUCAAUAGAAAGUCAAUAGAACCUUAUUAGGCUGAAGGAUUUUCAAAGAUGUCUAUAUAUUCUCAUAUUGUUAAGUUUCACAUUACAAACUGUUUUAUUUUGACUCUUUAAUUGACCUUCCAUGUUUUAUGAAAAAUAGGUGCCACAGUGUAUUUGUUAUUUAAUGUUAAGAUACAUCCCAUCCAAGAAUGGUCUGUACAGAAUAGCACUUAUCGACUCAUUAACACAUACAUGUUACAGGCAUCAACACACACUCGAAGCUUUCUGCCUCACUGAUCCUGCCCUUCUAGGAUUUCAACAGUCAACCUACUGGCUACAUCAUGGGAUGCAUUUCUUUUCAAAUUGUUUUCUGAUGACUACAUAGAAGGUAUGUGAACUUGGUUUAGUCAAAAAUGUCCAGAAGUGGUUUUACAGGUCCAUUUACAACCCUAUAAUUUGGCCCUAGAAUGAAACAGGUUGUUUUCCCUUAUUUUGUGGGCUCAUUGAUAUGUUGAUGAGCUCUGCUCUGAUUGGCUGGUUUAUAGUGAGGCACUGUGAUGGCUCACACAGAACUAACUUGCUGCUUGUAACUUUAAUACUCCCACUUCAUCUUAGGCACAAUGUUAGCAUAAUCAUAACUUUGUCUUUAUCUUUAGAACAGCAUUAUGACAGGAACAUUAAAAUUAUUUUCCAUCUCACUCAACAAAUAAUUUUACAAUGCUUACUUCGUCAUGCGAGUUUUAUCAAGAACUCCGAACAGCAAGCUCAGCAGCUUGUAAAUGUGUUAUUUGUAAUGAAUUUGGAGUUAUGCUUUCACCUUUUACCUCAGUAUCGAAUAGAUGUUUGUUUAGCUGACCAAAAGCAGGCUACGGGAAAUACAGAAGCCUUUUGUCAAAGUCAGUAUCACAGACUUCGUAAUGUUGUUUACUACUCCCCUAGUAAACUGGGGUACAAUUUCCCAAAAGCAUAGUUCCUAGCAAUGUAAUUAGUAACUUACUGUACAUCGAACCAUGCAACUGGACAGUUCCAACUAUGCUUGUUGUUAACAGGAGCUUUUAGGAAGUGUACCCCUGACUUAGCUCUUAAAGACGAAUAUCAACCAUGCAUGUUGACAGUUCAGUUUUUCUGGAAGGGAAUGAAAAGUGUCAACUUUCCCCAUCACAGCCUCAAACAGCACACUUAUGCAUCCAGCCUGCCAUUUUCACUGUUGUCCUCUGCUUCAUUCUUCACAAUACCUGCACAGCUGUUGAAGUCUGAAUGCACAUGUCCUUAGAGCUUGAAAGUGGGCUGGCAUAUGUAGAUUUCCAGGGUGUGGUUUUGACUGUUAUGUAACAGUUUAGGAAUUUUGAUGCUGUUUCAAUUCCUCCUUUUACAUAUCCAGGAAGUAUAUUUGACAGAGGGAACAACAGUGUUUGAGAUUCAUGGUAUGUCAUUUCCAUGUACUGAGCUCUCCUUUUUCAACUAUGCUGAGGUAAAGUCAGAGUUUCAUUCUAUGGCACCUUUAACUAAUUAGAGGAGACUUUGGCUAUUGAAAUGAAAAUGCUGUAACUGAUUUCCUUCAGUUUUGAAUGUUUCUGCUCAAAUACCAAUGUAAAGUCAUUUUAAUAACCUAAGGUGCCUCCCAAGUAUGACAGAUGCCUGAUUAAGGGCUGAGAAUGACCCACUGAGAACAGAGGGGCUAGAAAUAGCUCAGAUGUCUGCUGUAUUUCACCAAUUCCAUCCUGAUGAUGGCCACAGAAGGUGAUAAUCAGACAAUGGGCCAUUCUUGUAGAUGCCUUGCCUCUGCUGGAUGCCUCACCGUGGCCUCAUACUGUGUGUAACCACAUUCAUCUCCCUCCAUGUCACUUCUCCAUUGACUGAUAUUUACUUUGGCUGUUAAAUCCCCCUUCUCGCAUAUCUCAUCGAGAGAUGGCCUCUGCUUCCUGGCAGGUGUCAUGCUCUGCCCAUGUGACCCUCCUGUUUCCAUCCUAGUGUGUCCCUAAUGAGCCAUGCCUGUUACUCGCGGUCCUAAACUUUGUGUGAGUCACUCCCAGCUGCCUCUUGUUUGCUCCUUUGUCAGUCAUGAAUUUAAGUGCUUCCCAGUCCUGUGUUCCCCAGUCUAAACAUUGACAUCGAACCCUUGUGUUGACUGAGCCUUUCCAUGGUCCCUUAGUGGUUCCCCAUAAACCCGUUUGUUUCCAGCUUAUGUUAUUCAGUUAAAUAAAACCCCUUUUUUCUCACCAA